CACCACUGCACUCCAGCCUGGAUGACAGAGUGAGACUGUGUUUCAGAAAAAAAAGAAAAAAAAAAAAAAGUUGAAUCUGUAACUAUAACUUUCCCAUAAACAAAUCCCCAGUCCAGAUUUUUGCUUCACCAGCAAAUUCUUUUAAACAUUUAAAGAAUUGACACUAGUCUUAUACAAACUGUUUGAAAUAAUAGAAAAAGAAACAUAAUUCCCGAUUCACUUUGAGGCUACCAUAAUUUUAAUACCAAAGGGUGGCAGGUUCAUUACAAGAAAGGAAAAUUAUAGGUCACUAUAUCAAAUGAACAUACUUAUAAAUAUUUUAAAGAAAAUAUUAGAAAGUAAAGUUAAGUGAAUUAUUUAUUUUAGAAAUGCAAGAUUUUGGCUUAACAUCACAAAAUCAGUGUUUUCAACCCAUUCAACUGGAUUUAUUUUUGACAAACUACCUGGGACAACUGGAUAUCCACAUGCAAAAUAAUGAAGUUGGAUCUCUCUUUAUACAAUAUGCAUAAUUAACUCAAAACAUAUCAAAGACCUACAUGUAAGAGCUAAAACUAGAAAACAUUGAGAAGAAAACAAACGCAUAAAUCUUCAUGACCUUGGAUGAGGUAAUGGUUUAUUAGAUAUGACACCACACACACAGGCAAUUGAAAAAAAAAUAGAUAAGUAAGACUUUGUCAAAAUUUAAAAUUUUGUCCUUCAAAAAGACACUGUCAAGAAGAUGAAACGAUGACCACAGAAUGGGAGAAAAUAUUUGCAAAUCAUAUAUCAGAUAAGGGUCUGAUAUCCAGAAUAUAUAAAGAACUCUUAUGACUCAACAACCAAAAGGUAAACAAUCCAAUUUAAAAAUGGGCAAAAAGACUUGAGUAAGCAUUUCUCCAAAGAAGAUGUAUGCAUGGCCAACAAGCACAUGAAAAGAUGCUCAAUAUCAUUAGUCACUGAAGAAAUACUAAAACUACAAGAUGCCACUUUACGCCCACUCCUAGACAGUUAAAAACUUAUGUACCCCCCAAAGCUUGUACACAAAUGUUCAUUAUAGCUUUAUUUACAAUAGACUAAAAGUGAAAACCACCCAAGUACCUAUCAACUGAUGAAUGGUAAACAAAAUGUAGUGUAUCUGUACAAUAAAACAUCAUUCUGCCAUGAAAAGUACUGAAGUACUGAUUCAUGUGGCAACAUGGAUUAACUUUGAGAAUAUUAUGCUAGUUGAAAACCGCCAGACACAAAAGGCCAUAUUCCACUCACAUGAAAUGUUCAGAAUAGGCAAAUCCAUAGAGAUAGAUAUUGGAGACAGACAGUAGAUUAGUAGCUGCCAAGGGGAAAAGGGAAAUGGGGAAGGACUGCUAGUAGGUAUGAGGUUUCUGGAGUGAUGAAAAUGUUCUGGAGUUAUAUGAUGGUAAUAGUUCACAACUUUGUGAAUAUACUAAAAACCACUGAAUUGUACUCUUUAAAAUUAUGAUUUUUAAGAUAUAUGAAUUAUGUUUCCAUUUAAAUAUUAGUGUAUUUCACUAUAUUAGCAUCAUAAGGCAGAAAACAUAUCUCAAUAGAAUGAUGCAGAAAAAGCAUUUGAUAAAAUCAAAUACAUAUUCAUAGUUAACACUUAACACACUAGGACUGGAAGGAAACAUCUUUAAAUUGGUAAAGAUCAUCAGUAAAAAUCUUACAGGAAAUAUCAUAGUUAAUAGUGAAAUAUUAAAAGCUUUCACCCUGAGAUUAGGAAUAUUUCCGAAUACUAUUUCUAUUAAACAUUGUACUAGAGAUCUUAACCAUUGCAAUAAGGCAAGGAAAAAAAGUUACAGACUGCAAAGCAUAUGAUUGUUUAUGUAGAACAUUCAAAAGAAUCUAUGGUCAACAAAUUUAUUAGAAAUAAGUAAAUUUAGCAAGGCUACUGGGUUCAAGUUUACUAUACAAGAAUCAAGGAUAUUUUUAUAUAUCUGCAAUAUUCAGUUCAAAAAUGAAAUUUAAAAAUAUUUACAAUAGCAUCAAAGACAUAAACUGAUAAUAAAUCUAAUGAAAGAGAGAAAAUAAUCUUUAUAUGGAAAGCAUUACAGAGGAAAAAUAAAUAAGAUCUAAAUAAAUGGAGAGAUCUGCUGUGUUCAUGAAUUGAAAGCCUCAGUAUUGUAAAGAUGUCAGUUAUUUUCAGACUGGUCUACAGAGUUAAUGCAAUUCCAGUCCAAAUCACAGCAGAUUUCUUGGGGGAAAUUAAGCUGAUUCUGAAACAUAUGGAAACAUUAGAGACCAAGAAUAGAGAAGAGUGUUUAAAGAACACAGCUGGAAGACACACUGCUAGCUAUCAAGACUUCUUGUAAAGUUACAGUAAUUAAUACCAUGUGGUAUUGGUGCAAGAAUAAACAAAUAAAACAGUGAAACAGAACAGAGUCUAGAAGCUGAUCCAAACACGUAGUCACUUAACUAAGGACAAAGGUAAUGAUGUAGUGCAGCAAGGAAUGGGUGAGCUGUUCGAUAUAUGGUGCUGACUUAGUUGGAUGUUCACAGGUAAUAUACAUCUUGAUCCCUGUUUUCACAGCUUGAAAAAAACCAAGUCCAUAUAGAUUGCAUCAUAAAGAUCAAAGUAUAAAAAAGUAAAGAUUAUGGUUAAAAAAAGGAAAGUAUCUUCAUUUACUUGAAGUAGGUAAAGAUUUAAAAAAUAAAAUACCAAAAGCACUAUCUAGGAAGAGAAAGAAAAUGAUUACUAUAAUUAUUGAAUUAUAUUAAAGUUGAAAUGUUCUAUAUAUCAAAAGACCCCAUUAGUAAAAAAGCAAGCCAUAAAAAAGGAGAUUAUACCUGUAACACAAAUAUUUGACAAAGACUUGCAUUCAGAAUCUAUUUUUAAAAGUACUACAAAUCAAUUAAAACAAACAGAUGAUCCAGUGAAAUUAUGGGCAAAUGGCUUGAAGAAAACAUCACAAAAGAGAAUAUCCGAAUGGCCAAUAGACACAUCAAAAAGUGCUUAAAUGUCAUUAGUCAUCCAUGAAAUGCAAAUGAAAACUCAAUGCGAUAUUACUACACAUUCAACAGAAAGUCUAAAUUUAAAAAGAUAACGCCAACUACUAAGUAAGGAUAUGGAACAGUGAACACCCUCAUAAACUACUGUCAGGGAGUAAAUUUGUACAACCACUUUGGAAAGUUAUUUGACAAUGUUCAUUAAAGCUGAAUAUACACAAACCCAAUCUACCAGAAAUUCCACUGUGAAGUACAAACCGCAUAGAAAUAUACAUAUACAUCCAUAUAUGCAUCAAAACAUAUGUACACAACAGUGCUACAUAUAACAGUGGAAACUGGAAAUGAUACCAGUACCCAUCAAUAGGGUAAUGAAUUCCUAAGUGGUGGUAUAUUCAUAGAACAGAACACUGUACAGAAAUGAGGAUUAACAAACUGUAUGCAGCAACAUGUAUGAAUCUCGGAAUUACAGUGUUGAGCAAAAGAAGUCAAAGAUGAGAAUGCAUUAUAUGAUUCCAUUUAUACAGGGUUGAGAAGAUGCAAAACGGAACUUUGCUGUUACAAAUCAGGAUUGUGCUUGCUGUAGAUGUGAGUAGUCACUGGAGGGAGAAGAAGGGCCUGUGGAAAUUGUGGUCAUGUUCUGUCUUUGUUUAGAGGAUGUGUUCUUGCUGUAUCCCGAGUCUAUCAUGAAAGAGUGAAUGCAUGGCCUGGUUUUGACAGCAAGCGUAACAUCUAGCAUAUGAGGGAAUACCAAUCCCCUACAAACCUCAGAAAUUAAAGUUCACUGAAGACUCGUGAAUGAAUUAAUGAUGCUAUAAAAAGGGCUCAUGGGUGUGGGUUCACCUCCUUCCACCAUCUGCUGUGUGAGGAUGCAGCAAGAAGGUUCUCAUCAGAUUCUGAUGCCUUGAUCUUGGACUUCCCAGCCCCCAGAACUGUGAAAAGUAAACUUCUCUUAUUUGUAAAUUAUCCAGUCUCAGGUGUUCUGUUACAGCAGUACGAAAUAAACUAAGACAGUUCUCUUUGUAAAAGAGAGUGUACAUGGAGCUGUACACUUAUGAUUGUGCAUUUUUCUCGAAGCGUAUUUUAUUCAAUGAAACAAGGCAAAUGAAAGCCCAAAAAAGUGUAUGAGCAUGGAAAGGUGUUUUUGAGUGUAAGCGGAUAUCUGAGAGCUGAGGGGAGGGCAUGUGCAGUCCCAGCUCCCCUUUAAGCCCAGAGCCUCAGCAGGAAGUAUUACACAGAGUCCUUCCCUCCUGGACUGUCCGCGAGCUCCAACCCUCCUGCAGUUUGGGGAUCCUUGAGGGCCCAUGGCAUUUUCUUUUCAAAUAGGCUAUCAGGCCAUGUAUAUUCUCCACAUUGUUUGAAAAGAAACUUCCACAGCAUCAGACACAUUGGGAUUCUGACCCUGAGUCUUUUGGCCAGUAUCUGUUCUGAUUAGGAUACUCACCCUCCUAUACCAUAUCACUGGUGUGGGACUAAGUGCUUGCCAGUGUUUGUUUCUCCCUCUUCUCCUAACCUCAAAAGACCUGAGCCCCUCACUGGCCAGUGUGGGGUGGAGGAAAGACCCCAGGCCGCAGGGAAAUGAGACUAAUGGUGUACCAGAGUCCAGGGGAGAGUGACUCAGGCAGGAAUGACUGUGACCAGUCGAUGGGGUAGAACCCAAAGUGUGAAGUUGAUUCCCUGUGGAGAGACGAAUCCAGGGAUGUGCAGCAACACUGUGUAGGAUGUUUGCAACCCACAGCUUCAGUGGCAGCAUCCUUGCAGGUUAUUUGUGAAUUGCAUAACCGAAAUGAAUCAUGUUCCUGUGAAGACACAUGCUUUUAGUUUAAGAUAUUAAACAGUAGCUCCUGUGAGUAACACAGAUAUAAUCGUAUACAUUUACGAAUGCAUUGGAUAAAGUAGUACUUACAAGAACUCCAGUAGAAUUGAUAUCCACACUGCAUCGGUAUGUAAAACAUGAGUUGCCCAAUUCCCCCAACAGGCAGAAAACAGACUCCUUGGCUCAGCCCCAUGAGUCUGUACCACAGGAACCCUACAUAGAAUCAGAGUUGGAAAAGCCUGUUGCAGUUCACCUGGUUCAGCCUUUCCCAGGCAGAGGGCUCAGUCCCUGAUUCCUGUCCCCAGGGAGCAAGGAAAGCAGGGAAAACCACUAUUCAUUUCUCCCAGCGCAACUCCUACGUGAAAGGGAAAAAGCAGUGAACAACCUGGAGCUUUCCAGAAGCAACACUGCAAAAUAAACUAAGCAGCACAAAAUAAACUAACACAGUUUCUGGAUCUGUGUGGCUACAGCGCUGAUGAGGUUAAAUGCUAACAAGAUGCCUUGUCUGGAACCAAAGGGUGAGCAUAGCUUUAAGUAUCUGGAUAUUAUUGUUUUGCAUCCCCAUUUAAAAGAUAAUAAAGUGGUGGUGUUUCCUCUUUACCCUGAAACCCCAGAAGGAACAAAAAUUCCCCUUUCUGUUACAUACAAGAUUCAUGAGAGUUCUGUUUUGAAUGUUGGAUUCUUUUGGGGGAGGGGGAACAUAAAUACUUGGUGUUUGAUGUGUGUGUGUGUAUGUGUGCGUGCGCACGUGUGUGUGGGCGUGUGUGUACACAAAGAAAGAGGUUGCUUUCUCCCUCUCACUUCCCUGCAUUACAAGUCUUUGCCUCUUGCUCUGAACUUGUAACUUUCCGCAUUGUGCCAGGGGGCAGGCAGUUUCUAGGUUGUCGGUUUUCCAAGGUCGUCCUUUGAGAUUAGUGUUCUGUGGGUUGCAUCUGUAAUAAGUCAGACAAGGGUUUCUUCAGCUGACUUAGUAGACUCUUCCCUUCUGAUCUGAUGCUGCUGAGGAAGUCCCAGCACAGCUCGUAGACUGUUUUGUUGCUAUACAUUCCUAAAAGAAAACAAAAGCAGAGUUUAAUCAUUUUUGGUGCCCACUCCUCAUCUGUCUCCUCCCUCUGUGUCCUUCGAUGACUGUGAGAGGAGGUGACAGUGUCUGGUAGCGUUGGUGGGGAGAGAAACAGUGGCCUGUGGGUUGGAGCUCAGAGAAAGAGGUUAUCCUAGGAUGAAAUAUCAAACCAUAUCACAUUGAUUUUCCCUUUGGGGGGCCCGGAUAUCACAUCCUUCCAUUUCCCUCUAGUCCCUGCCCGCCAUCGACAGGGAAGCAUUAACAGGGAAUAAUCAAUGACGCCUUGUCCUGAAAAUAAAAGGCUUGUCAUGUCUCUCCAUUUGGUGGAAUGGAUGUGGGACCAGGGGUCAUGUGGCCGCUUCCAUCUGUCUCCUGACAGAGGCACUGACUCAGACGUGCUUUCCAUCCACAGGGCUGCAGCCCACAGCCAGGUGACUGCAAACUCUCCGUGGGCAUCAAGGAAAACAAGACUUUAAUUUCUUUGAACCCCUGUGUCAGGAGCUUGGCUGAUGAUGAAAUAUGGCAGCUUAGGAGUGGUGUGAGUGAACUUUAAUUUCUGAGUUUUGUAAAGGAUUGAUAUUCCCUCUUAUGCUAGAUACUGCUCAUGCUGUCGAACCAGGCCAUGCAUUCACUGUUUCAUGAUAGAAUCAGAAAUUCAGAAUUGACAGGGACUUUGCUCUGCGGUCCAGCCCCAUUCCCCAUCUGAUAUAUGAGUUCACUACAACUUUCCUGGUAAACCCAAUGAUUGUCUGAACAUCACUGCUGCCUCCUAUAAUUGCUCAUCUGUUUGUCAGAAAGCUCAACUCUUAGCAAGUGUUUUCUUAUACUUUACCAAAAUCUAUUUUCUGGUGUUUUUCUCGCAGUAGUCCCUCCACAUGUUAACACGGGCCCUGGAAACGGAGGUGCGUUCUCCCAAGAAGCUGCCCUCUAUGGCCCUGCGUAAGUGUCAAUAAGGUGGCUCGCUUGCCUUAUUUCCAGCAAUAACCCCGAUUUUCUUUGGAGAAUCUGCCUUCCUCCACUCUCAUGUCAUGAGGUUUAAUGACAUCUCUCUCCCUCCUUUCUCCAAGCUCGAUAGGUAGGCACAAUUUCUAAAGCUACGCAGUGGGACUCACUGUCCUGAACUUUCAAUCUUGAUUUGGUGGUAGAAGGACAGCCCCCCUGCCCUGAGACAACACUCAGAGGCAUGUAUUCCAGCAAGAGUGCCCUGACAAGACAGUUCUGGCCACCCUUGCCUGGACCCUCCACCUUCCCAUCAGUGUUAUGAAUUCUCCAGUCUUUUCCCAGGUAAGUCCAGUUUCCCUUCAAUGUAUGAGAGUUAUAGUCUAUUGCCUAUAGCAAUAUAACUCUCAAUGUAAAACAAAGUGCAGGUUUCAACAGUAACCAGGCUCUGAGGCCGGCCCGCCUUGACUCACGUUAGCCUCACUGACACAGCUCUCCUGGUUUCCUGGUGGGCACCUCAUGCUUCAACCAUCCAUUAAGGGACAGCCUAGCCUUGUGGCUGACACAAGGGGAGUAAGAAGACCUUUGCUGAAAUACAGAUGGACCACAUCCAAGAGUCUAAUGUGGCAAAGACAGAAAUGAUGUCAAUUGGAUGUAGCGUGUGUGUGUUGUAAAUGAACCCAUGCAGCAUCACUGUGAUCACCAUUUUGUUUUCUAGAUGCUCAGAGGUUAUUUAGGAUCUGAGAUUCUUGCUUGGCAGUCAUGAGUAGCUCCUGUAUUUGCAGAAUGAAUUCUCGGUGGGACCUUUGAUCACUGACAAUUUACCAGUCCCAUUUUCAAGGGUUAUCAGCAUCUGGAAAGCAAUUCAUCGAGCUGCUUUCGUGUAAGACAUGGCUUAAUGUUCACUGUUGUACCUCUGGUGCCUAAAACAGCAGGUGUGGCAGACAGAUUUCAAGAUGUCCCAUGAUUGCUGCCUCUUGGAGUCUACAGCUUUGUGUAAUCCCCUUCCCUUGGCUGUGGCUUGCUUCUGGCCAAUAGGAUGUGGCAAAGGUGAUGAGAUGUCAUGCCCAUGGUUAUGUUACAGAGGAGUCUGUCUUGUUAUCACUCUCUCUUUCUCCCUCUCCCUGUUGCUGGCUUUGAAGGAACAAGCUUCCAUGAAAUAAAUGACCAUGUUGGAGAAGCCCAUGUGACAAGGAACUGUCAGCAGUCUCUAAGAGCUGAGGGUAGACUUCAGCAAGAAACUGAAACCCUCAGUCUGACGGCCACAAGGAAAUAAAUUCUGCCAACAACCUGAAGAAGCUUGGAGCAGAUCUUUCAUCAGUUGAGCCUCUGAUGAGAUUGCAGCCCCAGCUGUCACCUGGAUAGCAGCUGGUAAAACCCUUCAGCAGAGAAGCCAGCCAAGCUGUGUGUAAACUUCUGACCUGCAGAAACUAUAGAUAAUGAGUGUGUGUUAUUUAGAACUGCUAAGUUUGUGGUGGGUAGUUAAGCAGCACAGAAAAUGAAUAAAGUAGGCAGGAAGUGAUGGCUCAUGCCUGUAAUCCCAGCACUUUGGGAGGCCGAG